rnacentral:lncRNA from 1 species
CUGCUCGACUGACAUAAAGAUCAUAAAAUAUUUCCAUACACCAAAUAUAGUUGACCUAUGGCAUAUAACAUUAGAUAAAAAGACCAAAACUCAAAAACUUAACUUUGACCACUGAACCAUGAAAAUGAGGUCAAGGUCACAUGACAUCUGCCCGCUAGACAUGUACACUUAACAAUCAUUCCAUACAACAAAUAUAGUAGACCUAUUGCAUAUGGUAUGAGAAAAACAGACCAAAACACAAAAAUUUAACUAUAACCACUGAACCAUGAAAAUGAGGUCAAGAUCAGAUGACACCUGCCAGUUGGACAUGUACACCUUACAGUCCUUCCAUACACCGAAUAUACUAGCCCUAUUGCUUAUAGUAUCUGAGAUAUGGACUUGACCACCAAAACUUAACCUUGUUCACUGAUCCAUGAUAUGAGGUCGAGGUCAAGUGAAAACUGUCUGACAGACACGAGGA